rnacentral:rRNA from 1 species
ACGCUGGCGGCGUGCCUAACACAUGCAAGUCGAACGAAGCAAUUGAAAUGAAGUUUUCGGAUGGAUUUUUAAUUGACUGAGUGGCGGACGGGUGAGUAACGCGUGGAUAACCUGCCUCACACUGGGGGAUAACAGUUAGAAAUGACUGCUAAUACCGCAUAAGCGCACAGUGCCGCAUGGUACGGUGUGAAAAACUCCGGUGGUGUGAGAUGGAUCCGCGUCUGAUUAGCCAGUUGGCGGGGUAACGGCCCACCAAAGCGACGAUCAGUAGCCGACCUGAGAGGGUGACCGGCCACAUUGGGACUGAGACACGGCCCAAACUCCUACGGGAGGCAGCAGUGGGGAAUAUUGCACAAUGGGCGAAAGCCUGAUGCAAGCGACGCCGCGUGAGUGAAGAAGUAUUUCGGUAUGUAAAGCUCUAUCAGCAGGGAAGAAAAUGACGGUACCUGACUAAGAAGCCCCGGCUAACUACGUGCCAGCAGCUGC